rnacentral:lncRNA from 1 species
UGAUUGGCUUCUUGUCUCUCCCAAUCUUUAUGUACUCCUCAAACCGUUCUUUUAGGUCCUCAGGUAGGUUUGUGGUUGAACUCCAUCCCAAUUUAGUUUUGGCUGCUCUAGGUUCAGCAUAGAAGUGCUGCAUCAUACAUAGUUCAUAAACAUUGUUAAGCAGUAGUAAUAAUUAUGAGAAUUGUAUAUUUUCAAAUUUGACAAAUGCCCAUGAUGCAGAGUUCCUUCAGUUGAGAGGUAACCGAUGAAUUUGUAAAAAAUAUUUUUGACAUGAAUACACUACUUAGUAUGUGUAAUUUGCUUUGUAAAACAGAUUACAAAGCUGAUCAGCAAGGCAGUAUUUUCAAUUUACUAUGCUGUUCUGUUACGGUUCAAAACUUGUGGUUAACCAAGACAAUCGAUACUCUUUAUUGGCAUAUUUGUGCAUCAUGCAAUAAAAUCGUAUUGUAGAUUAGAACAUAGGAUAUUAGUAACUACCACAUUACGGAAAGGGAAGGCUUUCUUUGCAUCAAUUCCAAUAGCUUUUGGAUCAUAAUGCACAAUAUUAACAGGGCGUCCUGCAGCUUGAGCGCAUAGUUUAGCUAUUCCAUUUAGAGUCACCGCACGGUCACUCACACAGUUGAAAAUGCUAUGAUUUGCAGCAUCCGGGUUCUCAACAGCUAGAGUCAACAUUGAAGACAAGUCUUUAACAUGAGAUAUGUUAGUGAGUUGCAAUCCUGAACCAGGAAUUAGCACAGGUCUGUCCCGAACAAUCCCUACAAAUGGCAAUAUACAUUUCUUUUAGAAGUUCUAAAUUAGCAUAAAAAUUUCAGAGUAAAAAAAAGCUUCAUAUGGAUUAGAGGUUUAAAAUAAAGCUUGCUUUAAGAAUUUUCCCACUUACUGUCAAAGAACCACUCCUCACAGUCUUUGUUGUUUCCAGACCCUGUCAUAUACUGAGGCCUGAAUACUGCCCAACUGUCAAAAGUUUCUUCAAUGUAUUUCUCAACUCCAACAUGACCAGCAUCUGCUUUGACAGCAUCCUGCUC